rnacentral:rRNA from 1 species
GACGAACGCUGGCGGCGUGCCUAAUACAUGCAAGUAGGACGCAGUUGCGAACGGGUGAGUAACGCGUAGGUAACUACCUAUUAGAGGGGGAUAACUAUUGGAAACGAUAGCUAAUACCGCAUACUAGUAGAUGGACCUGCGUUGUAUUAGCUAGUAGGUAGGGUAAUGGCCUACCUAGGCAACGAUACAUAGCCGGACUGAAAGAGUGAACGGCCACACAGGGACGGCGAAAAGGCCCAGCCUCCUACGGGAGGCAGCAGAAGGGAAUCUUAGGCAAUGGGGGAAACCCUGAACGAGCAACGCCGCGUGAGUGAAGAAGGUUUUCGGAUCGUAAAGCUCUGUUAUUAAGGAAGCGGUACUUAACCAGAAAGGGACGGCUAACUACGUGCCAGCCGCCGCGGUAAUAC